rnacentral:misc_RNA from 1 species
GAUGAAGAACUUAGCGAAAUGCGAUAAGUAGUGUGAAUUGCAGAAUUCAGUGAAUCAUCGAAUCUUUGAACGCACAUUGCGCCUCCUGGCAUUCCGGGAGGCAUGCCUGUUCGAGCGUCAUCAAACCCCAUCGUGCAAAUGAAUUAUUUUUUUUGCGCGGAAGUGACGAUUGAGCGAGAAUAACAAAUCCUCUCGCACCUCGUCGAAAUGAUUGCGGGCGGAAUUUGGGAUCGGGUUCCUCGGCGUAGUGUAUCAAUGCAUAUUUAUGCAACUUGCCGCGGAGUUGAGCCUGACCCACGCGUUCUCGCCGUACAAACACCUCAUUACUUUACAAGUUUUUGACCUCGGAUCAGGUAGGGAUACCCGCUGAACUUAAGCAUAUCAAUAGCGGAGGA